UUGGCUCAGGAUGAACGCUGGCGGCAGGCUUAACACAUGCAAGUCGAGGGGCAGCAUGGGCAUAGCAAUAUGCCCGAUGGCGACCGGCGCACUGGUGAGUAACACGUAUGCAACCUGCCCCGUACAGGGGGAUAAUCCAGAGAAAUUUGGUCUAAUACCCCGUAGUCCCCGAGAGGGCAUCCUCCCGGGGGGAAAGCUCCGGCGGUACGGGAUGGGCAUGCGGCGCAUUAGCUAGUUGGCGGGGCGACGGCCCACCAAGGCGACGAUGCGUAGGGGUUCUGAGAGGAAGGUCCCCCACACUGGUACUGAGACACGGACCAGACUCCUACGGGAGGCAGCAGUGGGGAAUA
rnacentral:rRNA from 1 species